GGUUCCGUAGCUCAGUCGGUAGAGCAGGGGACUGAAAAUCCCCGUGUCGGUGGUUCGAUUCCGCCCGGAACCA
rfam:Clostridiales bacterium CHKCI006 isolate CHKC6 genome assembly, contig: {contig12}